rnacentral:rRNA from 1 species
CCUACGGGUGGCUGCAGUGGGGAAUAUUGGACAAUGGGGGGAACCCUGAUCCAGCCAUGCCGCGUGUGUGAAGAAGGCCCUCGGGUUGUAAAGCACUUUCAGUGAGGAAGAACGCCUGGUGGUUAAUACCCAUCAGGAAAGACAUCACUCACAGAAGAAGCACCUGCUAACUCCGUGCCAGCAGCCGCGGUAAUACGGAGGGUGCGAGCGUUAAUCGGAAUUACUGGGCGUAAAGCGCGCGUAGGUGGCUUGAUAAGCCGGUUGUGAAAGCCCCGGGCUCAACCUGGGAACGGCAUCCGGAACUGUCAAGCUAGAGUGCAGGAGAGGAAGGUAGAAUUCCCGGUGUAGCGGUGAAAUGCGUAGAGAUCGGGAGGAAUACCAGUGGCGAAGGCGGCCUUCUGGACUGACACUGACACUGAGGUGCGAAAGCGUGGGUAGCAAACAGGAUUAGAUACCCUUGUAGUC